rnacentral:snRNA from 1 species
AGAUUCCCCAGAUAGGAAGAGACCAUGAUUAUGAAUGUGAUUUUCCCAGGGCAAGGCACACCAACUGCAAUGUAGAUGUGCUGACCCCUGCAAUUUGCUCAAAUGUGGGAAAUCCAACUGCAUGAUUUGUGAGAGUGGAAGACCAUGUUUACCUCUUUCC